rnacentral:rRNA from 1 species
AUUGAACGCUGGCGGCAUGCUUUACACAUGCAAGUCGAACGGCAGCGCGGGCUUCGGCCUGGCGGCGAGUGGCGAACGGGUGAGUAAUGCAUCGGAACGUGCCCAGUAGUGGGGGAUAGCCCGGCGAAAGCCGGAUUAAUACCGCAUACGACCUGAGGGUGAAAGCGGGGGACCGAAAGGCCUCGCGCUAUUGGAGCGGCCGAUGUCGGAUUAGCUAGUUGGUGGGGUAAAGGCUUACCAAGGCGACGAUCCGUAGCUGGUCUGAGAGGACGACCAGCCACACUGGGACUGAGCCACGGCCCAGACUCCUACGGGAGGCAGCAGUGGGGAAUUUUGGACAAUGGGGGCAACCCUGCUCCAGCCAUGCCGCGUGCGGGAAGAAGGCCUUCGGGUUGUAAACCGCUUUUGUUCGGGAAGAAAUCCUCUGGGCUAAUACCCCGGGGGGAUGACGGUACCGGAAGAAUAAGCACCGGCUAACUACGUG